UACGAAGGGGGCUAGCGUUGUUCGGAAUUACUGGGCGUAAAGCGCACGUAGGCGGACUAUUAAGUCAGGGGUGAAAUCCCGGGGCUCAACCCCGGAACUGCCUUUGAUACUGGUAGUCUCGAGUCCGGAAGAGGUGAGUGGAAUUCCGAGUGUAGAGGUGAAAUUCGUAGAUAUUCGCAAGAACACCAGUGGCGAAGGCGGCUCACUGGCCCGGUACUGACGCUGAGGUGCGAAAGCGUGGGGAGCAAACAGG
rnacentral:rRNA from 1 species